rnacentral:tRNA from 1 species
GCCUCCAUAGCAUAGUGGUAGUGCGUUCGCUUCGUAAGUGAAAGGCCGUGAGUUCAAUCCAUGAGGCU